AGCUUUCGGAAUCUGUGCUGAGAUUUCAUCAGACACCAACCCAUUAAAGGUCAUGAGACUUACGAGAUAUCUGAAGUU
rfam:Schistosoma haematobium scaffold16_23, whole genome shotgun sequence.